rnacentral:rRNA from 1 species
UACGAAGGGGGCUAGCGUUGCUCGGAAUUACUGGGCGUAAAGGGCGCGUAGGCGGACAGUUUAGUCAGAGGUGAAAGCCCAGGGCUCAACCUUGGAACUGCCUUUGAUACUGACUGUCUUGAGUUCGGGAGAGGUGAGUGGAAUGCCGAGUGUAGAGGUGAAAUUCGUAGAUAUUCGGCGGAACACCAGUGGCGAAGGCGACUCACUGGCCCGAUACUGACGCUGAGGCGCGAAAGCGUGGGGAGCAACAGG